CAGUAGGAAUUUGUUGGGGGGAAAUAAAGUGGAUGUGAGUAUCAAUACCGCCAGCUGUAACAAUAAGCCCUUCGGCCGCUAGUGCUUCAGUAGCAGGACCUACACAAAGAUUGUUGUGUACACCAUCUUGAAUGUCUUUGUUGCCCGCUUUACCAAUGCCAGCAAUUUUGCCAUCUUUAAUGCCAAUGUCAGCUUUGUAAAUACCGCUGUAAUCUACAAUCAAGGCAUUGGUAAUAACCAAAUCUAACUCUUGAGUGCUAGGACUAUUAGUUUGGCCCAUCCCAUCACGG
rnacentral:sRNA from 1 species